rnacentral:rRNA from 1 species
ACGGGUGAGUAACGCGUGGGAACGUACCUUUUGGUUCGGAACAACACAGGGAAACUUGUGCUAAUACCGGAUAAGCCCUUACGGGGAAAGAUUUAUCGCCGAAAGAUCGGCCCGCGUCUGAUUAGCUAGUUGGUGGGGUAAAGGCCCACCAAGGCGACGAUCAGUAGCUGGUCUGAGAGGAUGAUCAGCCACAUUGGGACUGAGACACGGCCCAAACUCCUACGGGAGGCAGCAGUGGGGAAUAUUGGACAAUGGGCGCAAGCCUGAUCCAGCCAUGCCGCGUGAGUGAUGAAGGCCCUAGGGUUGUAAAGCUCUUUUGUGCGGGAAGAUAAUGACGGUACCGCAAGAAUAAGCCCCGGCUAACUUCGUGCCAGCAGCCGCGGUAAUACCAAGGGGGCUAGCGUUGCUCGGAAUCACUGGGCGUAAAGGGUGCGUAAGCGGGUCUUUAAGUCAGGGGUGAAAUCCUGGAGCUCAACUCCAGAACUGCCUUUGAUACUGAAGAUCUUGAGUUCGGGAGAGGUGAGUGGAACUGCGAGU